GGAUGCGGCAGCUACACAUGCAAGUCGAACGGCAGCACAGAAGAGCUUGCUCUUUGGGUGGCGAGUGGCGGACGGGUGAGUAAUGUCUGGGAAACUGCCCGAUGGAGGGGGAUAACUACUGGAAACGGUAGCUAAUACCGCAUAACGUCGCAAGACCAAAGUGGGGGACCUUCGGGCCUCACACCAUCGGAUGUGCCCAGAUGGGAUUAGCUAGUAGGUGGGGUAAUGGCUCACCUAGGCGACGAUCCCUAGCUGGUCUGAGAGGAUGACCAGCCACACUGGAACUGAGACACGGUCCAGACUCCUACGGGAGGCAGCAGUGGGGAAUAUUGCACAAUGGGCGCAAGCCUGAUGCAGCCAUGCCGCGUGUAUGAAGAAGGCCUUCGGGUUGUAAAGUACUUUCAGCGGGGAGGAAGGCGGUGAGGUUAAUAACCUCGCCGAUUGACGUUACCCGCAGAAGAAGCACCGGCUAACUCCGUGCCAGCAGCCGCGGUAAUACGGAGGGUGCAAGCGUUAAUCGGAAUUACUGGGCGUAAAGCGCACGCAGGCGGUCUGUUAAGUCAGAUGUGAAAUCCCCCGGGGUUUAACCUGGGAAC
rnacentral:rRNA from 1 species